UUACUUACUUGGCAGGGAAGAUGCCCUUCUUCUUGGCCUUCAGUGACUUGGUGUAGUUAGGGUGAAGGCCUGUCCCUUGCACUGUGGGCAGGCUGGCCCCUGUGAAAGUCUGCAAAUGCCUCCAAAUGGGAGGAUCUCAGCUACACAAUUUACAGUGAUGGGGGAUUUCUCUCAGCUUUCCCUCU
rnacentral:snRNA from 12 species